rnacentral:tRNA from 1 species
GGGGUUGUAGCUCAGUGGUAGAGCACUUGCCUAGCAAGUACGAGUUCAUGGGUUUAAUCCCA